CGCUGGCGGCGUGCCUAAUACAUGCAAGUCGAGCGAGCAGAACCAGCAGAUUUACUUCGGUAAUGACGCUGGGGACGCGAGCGGCGGAUGGGUGAGUAACACGUGGGGAACCUGCCCCAUAGUCUGGGAUACCACUUGGAAACAGGUGCUAAUACCGGAUAAGAAAGCAGAUCGCAUGAUCAGCUUAUAAAAGGCGGCGUAAGCUGUCGCUAUGGGAUGGCCCCGCGGUGCAUUAGCUAGUUGGUAAGGCAACGGCUUACCAAGGCAAUGAUGCAUAGCCGAGUUGAGAGACUGAUCGGCCACAUUGGGACUGAGACACGGCCCAAACUCCUACGGGAGGCAGCAGUAGGGAAUCUUCCACAAUGGACGCAAGUCUGAUGGAGCAACGCCGCGUGAGUGAAGAAGGUUUUCGGAUCGUAAAGCUCUGUUGUUGGUGAAGAAGGAUAGAGGCAGUAACUGGCCUUUAUUUGACGGUAAUCAACCAGAAAGUCACGGCUAACUACGUGCCAGCAGCCGCGGUAAUACGUAGGUGGCAAGCGUUGUCCGGAUUUAUUGGGCGUAAAGCGAGCGCAGGCGGAAGAAUAAGUCUGAUGUGAAAGCCCUCGGCUUAACCGAGGAACUGCAUCGGAAACUGUUUUUCUUGAGUGCAGAAGAGGAGAGUGGAACUCCAUGUGUAGCGGUGGAAUGCGUAGAUAUAUGGAAGAACACCAGUGGCGAAGGCGACUCUCUGGUCUGCAACUGACGCUGAGGCUCGAAAGCAUGGGUAGCGAACAGGAUUAGAUACCCUGGUAGUCC
rnacentral:rRNA from 1 species